rnacentral:rRNA from 1 species
GAUGAACGCUAGCUACAGGCUUAACACAUGCAAGUCGAGGGGCAGCAUGGUCUUAGCUUGCUAAGGCCGAUGGCGACCGGCGCACGGGUGAGUAACACGUAUCCAACCUGCCGUCUACUCUUGGACAGCCUUCUGAAAGGAAGAUUAAUACAAGAUGGCAUCAUGAGUCCGCAUGUUCACAUGAUUAAAGGUAUUCCGGUAGACGAUGGGGAUGCGUUCCAUUAGAUAGUAGGCGGGGUAACGGCCCACCUAGUCUUCGAUGGAUAGGGGUUCUGAGAGGAAGGUCCCCCACAUUGGAACUGAGACACGGUCCAAACUCCUACGGGAGGCAGCAGUGAGGAAUAUUGGUCAAUGGGCGAGAGCCUGAACCAGCCAAGCAGCGUGAAGGAUGACUGCCCUAUGGGUUGUAAACUUCUUUUAUAAAGGAAUAAAGUCGGGUAUGGAUACCCGUUUGCAUGUACUUUAUGAAUAAGGAUCGGCUAACUCCGUGCCAGCAGCCGCGGUAAUACGGAGGAUCCGAGCGUUAUCCGGAUUUAUUGGGUUUAAAGGGAGCGUAGAUGGAUGUUUAAGUCAGUUGUGAAAGUUUGCGGCUCAACCGUAAAAUUGCAGUUGAUACUGGAUAUCUUGAGUGCAGUUGAGGCAGGCGGAAUUCGUGGUGUAGCGGUGAAAUGCUUAGAUAUCACGAAGAACUCCGAUUGCGAAGGCAGCCUGCUAAGCUGCAACUGACAUUGAGGCUCGAAAGUGUGGGUAUCAAACAGGAUUAGAUACCCUGGUAGUCCACACGGUAAACGAUGAAUACUCGCUGUUUGCGAUAUACUGCAAGCGGCCAAGCGAAAGCGUUAAGUAUUCCACCUGGGGAGUACGCCGGCAACGGUGAAACUCAAAGGAAUUGACGGGGGCCCGCACAAGCGGAGGAACAUGUGGUUUAAUUCGAUGAUACGCGAGGAACCUUACCCGGGCUUAAAUUGCAGAUGAAUUACGGUGAAAGCCGUAAGCCGCAAGGCAUCUGUGAAGGUGCUGCAUGGUUGUCGUCAGCUCGUGCCGUGAGGUGUCGGCUUAAGUGCCAUAACGAGCGCAACCCUUGUUGUCAGUUACUAACAGGUUCCGCUGAGGACUCUGACAAGACUGCCAUCGUAAGAUGUGAGGAAGGUGGGGAUGACGUCAAAUCAGCACGGCCCUUACGUCCGGGGCUACACACGUGUUACAAUGGGGGGUACAGAGGGCCGCUACCACGCGAGUGGAUGCCAAUCCCCAAAACCUCUCUCAGUUCGGACUGGAGUCUGCAACCCGACUCCACGAAGCUGGAUUCGCUAGUAAUCGCGCAUCAGCCACGGCGCGGUGAAUACGUUCCCGGGCC